rnacentral:rRNA from 1 species
UACGGGGGGGGGCAAGCGUUGUUCGGAAUUACUGGGCGUAAAGGGCUCGUAGGCGGCCAACUAAGUCAGACGUGAAAUCCCUCGGCUUAACCGGGGAACUGCAUCUGAUACUGGAUGGCUUGAGAUUGGGAGAGGGAUGCGGAAUUCCAGGUGUAGCGGUGAAAUGCGUAGAUAUCUGGAGGAACACCGGUGGCGAAGGCGGCCACCUGGGCCGGUUUCUGACGCUGAGGCGCGAAAGCGUGGGGAGCAAACAGG